GCAUUGGUGGUUCAGCUGUAGAAUUAUUGCCUUCCAUGCAGGAGACCCAGGUUCUAUUCACAGUCAAUGCU
rnacentral:tRNA from 1 species